UACAUUUUGGUGUAUGGUGCACAAGAAUUUUUGAUAUUCUGAGAGAUAGUUUAACUCUAUUAAAUGUAG
rnacentral:tRNA from 2 species